UUCGAGAACCCUGGGGCAUCCCUGGGGGCACCUGGAGUGAUGCAGGGUGCUAGAGAGGCUUGGAACGGAGUGAGUCUUGCAGUCCCGGGAGGGAAUUAGGCAAGGUGGCUGCGAUCAGAAUCAUUUUGGGGUGCGGAACUAGGCGGGUCCCAGGGAGGUCCGGGACCUGGGCAUCCCUACUGGCACGGGGGUCGGGGUGUACUCCGGGGAACUGCAGAUUCCUGCAACUGAGAGAAUAGCCUCGGCGAGCACCAUCAGAGGUCACAAGGGAGGCCAAAGGGAGUCGAAAAGGGACUGAUGGAAGGGGUGCUCCUGGGUAGGGGAAGCACUUGGAAGUCACUCGGUUUUUGCAAGUGUGGGGACACCAACGUAGAGGUGUAAAGGGUGGCUCUGAUCGCUUUACUUUAGUAUUGACUUCUUCCUUCAUUCCCCAGCAUCUCGUUCAACGGUGCCUCUAACUUGGCUCUCAGCAGCCCCAGCUGUUGGCCUCAGAGGCUGCGCCAAAGGGGUCUGAGUGAUGGGAGGGACCGUAGGAAAUGUGAAGUGUGGUCCAACUUGGAAAAUGACCCCCGGGGGUUUGGAGAAAUGGGGACGCGUGUAGGAAUUGCGACGCUUGGACUGUCAGACCCUCGCGUGUCGGGUUAAGCUCUCCAGUGAUACAUAGAAUCCUGAUUUGCGGUUUUCCUUUCACCCUCCAAAAUAUGCCUGACAGCUACUAAGCAGACCGCCUGCCUUGUCUGGUCUGACCAGGGCAGAUGGCCAAAAUUCCACCGCGGUUAUCAACAAAAAGCCACUAUCCACUUUUAUCUCAAGCUUUUAUGCAUGCUGUAUCGAUCGGACCGAGUCAAGUAGUGAGGCGCUGGGUGUGUAGUUACCAAUUCAUCUGUAUGUAAAAUCUGAGAGUACAACCCUUCGGAUCCCACUGCGGAAGCUGGGCCCGUAGAUUUCUUGUUCUCCUCUGGCUCUCCAAGUUCUACUUUGAAGAUCGAGUUGACUUCAGCCAGAGGCAGCUCCCCUGUGGUGUUCUGUGAGUAGAAAAGGUGGAAGAGAUAGGAGAGCCCGUGAGUUCUAUAAAUGGACGGUGCACGGAAGACAGCCUUUUCACCCCAGGGGACUUUAAUCCACCUCUUGUUUCUGAGACCCCUGGAUCCACUUCUUGUGUCUGGGGGAAAAAAGGGGUAGUUGUACCCGGGGAGGAGGAGAACCGGCAUUCACUUACCUCUCAAUGUCUAAGGGUUUUUGGAACUUUUUUAAUUUCUCAGAUCUUCUGAACUUUGGGCAUUGCUGCCAAAAGGAAAAAGAAAGUUUUCAUCUUCUCCCCGCUACAAACCUCUUUUAUUUUUAAACUGAAAGAGGAAAAUAAGCCGGAGCUAUUUUGUGACAUCCAACCGUCUGAGAAUCUCUGAUAGCUUAAAACUGGAGCAGUAAGUUAGACAUAAAAGUUUGAGCUUGGGGUUGGGGAUUUAGCUCAGUGGUAGAGCGCUUGCCUAGCAAGCGCAAGGCCCUGGGUUCAGUCGUCAGCUCCAAAAAAACAAAGACAAAACAAAACAAAAGUUUGAGCUUAGGCCCAGUGGAGCUGGCUAAGGGGCCACCUGCGUUUCAUGCCAGGGAAGGAGCCAUGUUGCCCUCUGACUUCAGUUUUGAGCUGCGCCAUGAACACCCCUCCAUACACACACACCCAAAAUUACAUUAAGAGUGUUUUUGAAAGUUUGAAAUUAAUAGACAGUGAUAGAAAUUAGGCAUUUGAGGGGUUGGGGAUUUGGCUCAGUGGUAGAGCGCUUGCCUAGGAAGCACAAGGUCCUGGGUUCAAUCCCCAGCCCCGAAAAAAAAAGAAAAGAAAAAAAAAAAAAGAAAGAAAUUAGGCAUUUGAAAUGUUUCCAGCCACAACUAACAUUUUUCCUAGUUACCCAGGGAAUACUCAACAGGAAGACUGGUAGGUCAGUGUCUAAUUUUACCUUCGUAGAACACUUGUUAUUAGUCAGAUUUGGUGUGUGUGUGUGUGUGUGUGUGUGUGUGUGUGUGUGCAUGUGUGCACACGCAUUGAGAUAUACUACAGCAGAGUUUUUCAGUUAUGGAAACUCCUCCCUCCCCUUUUUUUCUUUUCUUUUUGAUUUUUACAGAUAGGGUUUCUCUGUAUAACAGCUCUGGCUGACCCGGAACUCACUUUGUAGAUCAGGCUAGCCUCAGACUCACAAUGGUCUGCCUGCCUCUGCCUCCCAAGUGCUGAGGGUUUUUUUUUUUUUAAUUUUUUGUUUGUUUUGUUAUUGUUGCUUUUGUUUUAUUUGAGUGAGGAUCUUACUGUGUUGCUCAGGCUAGCCUGGAACUCAGCUAUGUAGACCAGGCUGGCCCUCAAACUUUCAUCUCCCUGCCUUGGCCUCCCUAGUGCUCAGAUUACUGGCAUGAGGCAGCACAAUCCAACUGAGUUGUUGAAAUUCUCUCAAGCUGGCAGGCAUGGUGGGACACUUUGACAAUCCCAGCACUCAGGAGGCAGAGGCAGGAGGAUCCUUGCCAGUGUGGUCUCCAUAGCAGAUUCCAGGCUAACCAUGCCUAUACAUAGGGAGACCCUAUCUGCAAAAGAAUGUCAGUAACCCAAAAGUUACAAAAUAUAAGCAAAAUGAACCAACAAAACCACUGAUAUCUUCAGAGACCAAGAGAAUCAGCAAGGGUUUUAUAAUAAUUGUAGCUAAUGACUGCGUUUGGAGGCCCACUAAAUACCGUGGCCUAUUUGCUUUCUUUAAUCUUCUCAAGAGCUGAUGGAGUGGUUACCAACCCCAGUUUGCUUAGAGGAAAUUGAGGCCUACCAAAGUUAAAUAACUUGUUGGGUAAACACAGUUGGAAGUGGUCCCAACCUUUAACCAUUGCCUUGCUACCUCGGAGUCCUGAGCAGCCCUGGAAGAUGAUUGAGUUCUGUUCGUUUCUUUUCGUCUUGAGACAGGGUGUCUUGUAGUUCUGCUGCUCUCUAACUAGCUAUGAAGACAAAGAUGGUCUCGAACCCCUGAUCCUCCUGCCUCCACCCGAGUGCUGGGAUUGCAGGGGUGCCCCCCACCAAGGCUGGUUUUAGGCAACACUAGCGAUGGAACCCAGAGCUUCAUGCAUGCUAGGCAAGCCCUCUCCCAAGCAAGCUGUCACUAUGCCACAGCAGACAGCUCUGUUUUGGGGCCGAGCACUCGGUGAUGUGCUUUGAUGGAAUUAUGUGCCCUCGGGUCUAACUUUCCUAAUCCUCAAUUUCCCAACUGUAAACUACAGAUAGCACGGGGCCAGCUGGGGAGGUGGCUCAGUGAUUAUGCUUGGUGCACCAUCUUGGGGACCUGGGUUCAGAUCCCCAGAAUCCACAUUAAAAGAAAAUGAAACAGGUGUAGCUCCUGUUUUAUCCAAAUCAGUGAGAUUCAAGGUCAGUGAACCAUCUCCAAAAAAAAAAUGUGGAAGGAAAUAGAGGAAGACACCCAGUGUAGACCUCUGGCCUGUACAUGUGCACACACAGAGAAGUAUGCUUCUGGGCACAUAAGUAUACAACACACAUAUAUAAAAUAAACAUAAUAGGGGCUGGAGAGAUGGCUCAGGAGCUCUUCCAGAGGUCCUGAGUUCAAAUCCCAGCAACCACAUGGUGGCUCACAACCCUCUUCUGGUGUGUCUGAAGACAGCUACAGUGUACUCGUAUAAAUCAGUCAAUCAAUCAAUAAAAACAUAAUAUUUAACCUUGCAGUGUAUGGAGAGGUGUUCUUGGCACAGCGUGAGGAUGGAGGUCAGAGGACAGCUUGGUGUGCAAUACAUUAAGUAUUAAAUGACAGCAUUUUGCAAAUUAUGGGCCACUAUUGUGGUUUUUUUUCUAUGUCGCAAGAAUAGCCUCUUCCAGGCAAUCUGUCCUUCUUAGCUCUUGACACUGUUUUCAGAAUGUCACUGUCCCUUCCAGAAUGGGGACCACUGACCAGCCAAGACUGUACCCCACCAUCACCUCGUUCCCGGUUCACCUCAGCACAAGCAUUAGUUGGGUGUUAGGGACAAGAAUAGUGGUUUAUUUUUUGACAUACUUAUUUUCAAUCUUGCUUACUGAGUUGAUCCUGUAUUUGCUAGGACUUAAUGUGUAAAAGGGAGAAGGCUGGGACGAUGGCUCAGUGGCUGCUGCACAAGUGCAAGGGCCUGAGUUCAAAUCCCUAGACCCCAUGUAAGACUGAACCUGGGAGCAGCCCUGGAAACUUGCAGACCAGCUAGCUUGGGAUGUGGGGUGAAAAACAAGAGAGCUUAUCUCAAACAAGGUGGAAGUUGACUGGCACCUGAGGUGACUUUAUGACCUCCACCAUGUUUGUAGCAUGACAUGUGCAUACACUCAUGCACUCUCACGAGCGCACGGAAGAGGGAAGCGUGUGUAUUGCUAACCCAUUUAUGGAUGGAUAAAGAUAGUAAUAAAGUUGUUUCUUCAAUGACAGGAAGAGUCCAAGGAAGAUAAAAGCAAAGCCUUUGCAAAAAGGUUUCCCAUCCCUUCUUCUGUUUUGUUUUCUUGUUUUGUGUUUUGUUUUGCUUUGUAGACCAGGCUGGACUUAAAUCUGAUAUAUGGUGGAGGCUGACCCUGAACUCUUGGUCUUCCUGCCUACACGUCCCUAAUACUGGAACUGUACACAUGCUCUACCAUAUCUGGCUAGGCUUCCCGUGUGUUAGGCAAGCAUAUCAGAACCAGAUUGCAUCCUCAGACUUUGAUUUAGUUUCAAGUUUAGGGACUGGAAAGUGGUGGAGAGCACAUCCUGCUCUUCCAGAGAGCAUCCAUAUCCAGUGGCCUCGCAACCACCUAUAACUGUAAUCCCAGGAAAUGCACAGGCACACACAUGCACACACAUAGAAAUGAACCAUAAAUUUUAGUUUGAGGCAGUGUCUCAGUAAAUCACAGCAGCCGGCCCUAUACUCGCUGUAUAGCCCCAGGCCAGCCUCAAGUCUGUAGUUCUCCUGCCUGGGCCCUCCUAAGUAACUGGCUUGACUUACUUCAUCGGCUGACAGUAUUCUAGUAUUGUUUUAUUUUAUUUGUUUGCUUUUAGGUCAGGGUCUUAUGUAGUCCAGGCUGUCCUUGAACUCACUAUGUAGCCAAGAAUGACCUUGGACUCCUGAUUUCCUGUAGGAUCCAAAAAACAGUUCUCCCCUUCCUAAAAGCUACCGUGACUCUGGGGAGGAUUUAGCUCACUGUAGAAGGUUGCCUGGCCAGCACAAAGACCUGGUGUGGUCUAUCGAGAGGGGUUGAGGUAAAGCUGCUAUGAUACCUCGUUUGGGAAGCACUUUACAGUUUAUAAGAAUGGUGAUGGGGGUUGGGGAUUUAGCUCAGUGGUAGAGCACUUGCCUAGCAAGUGCAAGGCCCUGGGUUCGGUCCCCAGCUCUGGAAAAAAAAAAAAAAAAAAAAAAAGAAGUAAGAAUGAUGAUGAUGAAUGGUCAGCCUGGUCAGCCAGUGAGUGAGUGACAGGGGGAUGAUUCAAAGCCAGGACACAGGCUCCCCAUGUUAGGCCCCGCCCACCAUGGUGCCCUCCAGUCAGACAUGACGAUAUUUCUAGUAGGAGUUGGGGGAGGGAGGAAUGUUACCAGUCAGAUGAGGAAAAGAUCUUGAUCCAAAUUUUCAUUUAGCCUUGUUUGUUUGUUUGUUGUUUGUUUUGUGUAUGUGUUUGACGGUUGCAUAUAGAGAUCAGAGGACAUCUUGUAGGACUUGGUUCUGGCCCCCCACAGUGGGCCCUGGUGGUUAAACUGAGGUUAUUGAUCUUGGCAGCAGGUGUCCUGGUUCUCGUUUAUAAGACAGGGUCGCACUAUAUAGCUCUCUUUGAAUAUAUGAUCCUCCUGCCUCUGCCAUUGGCAUGCCGGGAUUAAAGCGUACCCACCGUGCUUGACCCUCUGGCUAUAUCCUUAGCCAAAAAAAGCUUUCCUCUGUGGACUGUUUAUUCUUUUAAUAUUAUUUCGGGGAACACAUACCAUGGAGUGAACGCAGUCAUGAGUAAGAUCAAGAUUAGCCCCGGAGGAUCUGUGAGUCAGCAGAGGGGAGGGACUCUGUUGUGGUCAGAGGAACAAAGUAGCAGUCUUUUAAGGGUGUUAAAACCAAAGGCUCUGGGUGUGGGGGGGGGGUGGGAGAGUAGGGGGACUGGGGGUGGAGAGUUGGGGAGAGAGGGGGGAGGCUGAAAGCUUACCUUAGCUCAGAUUUAGAGCACUUGAUCAGAACAACCCAGUGAGGGGCUACAGGUGUGACUCACGGGUCCAGGAGGGACAUACUCCAUCAUGGUGGGGAAGGCAUGGCGGCGGGAGUAGGAGGCACGCACCAUCCACAGUCAGGAAGCAGGGAGAGAUGGAUGCUGCUGCCUUUUAUUAUGCAGUGCAGGACCCCAGCCCGUAGGACACUAAAGUUUACCAAAAGCCCAUAUUUAGGAUGGGUCUGCCCAGCCCAGUCUAGAUGCCCCUUAUACGCAUGCUCACACAUUUGUCUCCCAAGUGAUUGAAUGCCGUGCCUGUUGACAGUGUUAGCCAUCUUUGAUCCUGCCUAAUUCCUGCUUGCUUUCUUCCUCCUUCUUUCCCCUCAUCUUUGGGGUACCCACAAGGCUGACCUCACACCACUUCCCUUUUACAUCUGUCCACUUCCUCGGCUCUCACCUCAACAGUUUCUAGUCUCACCACCAUGACAUCACUGCCCCACAUCCCCUUCCUGACUUCCUGCCCUGUGGACCGUCUCUGAAGACAUCUGCACCCCCAUCCAUGCCCUGUGCCCAGCCAUUGGUCCUUCUGUGUCCCUGGCCCAGCCUCUUUCCUUCCUCUUGAACACACCGCUUGUGUUCUGAUGUCUCCAUGCUGUAAUGUUCCUGUGCCCAGUUCUCCUUAGUUCCUCAUGGUGCCUGCCCUCCUGACCAUUUUCUUUCUUUUUCUCACCUCUCUCUUUUCCUUCCUUCCUUCCUUCCUUCCUUUCUUUUGUGACAGGGCUUCUCUGUGUAGCCCUGGCUAUGCUGAAACUCACUCUGAAGACCAGGCUGGCCUCCAACUCUGAGAUCCUCUGGCCUCUGCCUCCUGAGUGCUGGAAUUAAAGGUGUGCACCACCAUCUGGCUUUUCUCCCUUUACCGGACCCUUUUGUCAGGAACCUUGGUUAGAGGCUGAGACGAUGCAGCUCAGUUGGUAGAAUGCUUGCCUAGGUCAAAGCCUGGCUCCAGCAUCACAUAAACCAGGCCUGUUAGUGUGUGUCUGUCAUCCUAGAACUCAGGAGGUGAAGGCAGGAGGAUUGGGAGUUCAAGGAUGAGGGUGGAGACGGCUCAGUGGCUGGGAGUGCACCCUGCUCUUGCAGAGGCUCUGAGUUCAGUUCCCAGCAGCCGUAUAAGGCACAACCACCUGUAACUCCAGCUCCAGAGGAUUGGACAGCCUCUUGGGUCCUCCAUAGGCAUACACGUACCCCCACCCAUUACAUACAGAUAAUCAAAAUUAAUAACUCAGGCUGGAGAGAUGCUCAGUGGUUAAGUAUGCUGGAAGCUACUGAAGUGGACAUAGGUUCAAAUCCCAGCCCUCACAUUAGGGGGCCUUACAGCUACCUGCAACUCCAGUGCCAGGGAAUCCAACACUCUAUUCUGGCUUCUGCAGGCACCCGCACACAUGCGGUGCACAUAUAUACACUCAGGAAUGAAUCUUAAAAAACAAACAGAUGUGGUGAUGUACACCUUUAAUCCUAUCGCUGAGGAGGCAGAGGCAGGUGGAUCUCCAUGAGUUUGACACUAGCCUGGCCUACAUAUGGUGUUCCAGGCAAGCUGAGGCUUCAUAGUUAGACUUUAUCCCAAAAACAGUUUCAAGGUCAUCCCCAGAUUCUGUGUGACAUGAUACCUCCAUGGUCCCUCGUCCUUGCCCUCAUAUAACACACACAUGCACAGGUUGUCCUUUGUGGUCUGGUUGUACUUGGGUCACACAUUCCAGUGAGUCUGAACCACUGGGCUAUACUAUAUUAUCACACUUAUGCAAGCACAGAUCGUGGCUUCCUGUGUUGAUAGUUCCCUCUUGGACAUGACUGUGAAUCUCAUUGUCCAUGAGGGGACCCUUGUAGAAGGUAGGUGCUGGUGUGUCCAUUGGCCAGACAUAAAUAAGGGAGGUAGAGACAAGAGAGGUAUUGGUUUGUAUCUGUAUUCCCAGGUACUCAGGAAAGUGAGGCAGGAGGAUUGAAUGAAGGCAGGAGUUCAUGGCCGGCAUGGGCAACAUAUCAAGACUCUGUCUAAAAUAAAAUAAAAUAAAAUAUAAAAACAAAACCAAGUAUGAUGUUCUCAUUGCUUUGACAAAACCCGUGACCAGAGCAACUGAAGGGAGAAAGGGCUUACUGUGGCUUACAGUUCAAGGGUGCAGUCCAUUACAGCAGGGGAGGCAUGGCAGUGGGAGCAUGAGGCGGCUGUUACACGGCAUCCACAGUCAGGAAGCAGAGAGCCAUGGAUGCUGGUGCUCAGCUCGCUGUCUCCUUUUAGUAUGUAGUCCUGGACCCCAGCCUAGGGAAUGGUGCCGCCCACCUUCAGGCUGGGUCUCCCUCUUCUGCUCAGGUCAAUUCUCCGAAAGCACUGGCCUAGAUGAGCCCUCAGGGAUGUCUCCUAGGUGACUCAAAGAGUCUCAAGCUCUAAUGUGAGCUGGCUAAGCUACUCUGCUUAGAUGAUUGUAAAUAUCAAGGUGACAAUCAAGGUUAACCAUGGGGAACUGAAGAAAUUGCACUUGAUGCUCUUAGAGAGGACCAGAGUUUAGUCACUAGUACACACCUUAGACUGUUCACAACCUUCUAUGAUUCCAGCUCCAGGGGAUCCAGUGACCUCUUUGAUGUCCUUGGGCAUUGUACAUCAUACACAGAGAUGCACAAACAGACACAUAAAAUCAAAAUCUUAAAAAAACAAUUUGCCAUUAGACCUGGUGUCUGUAGCAGACACUUCCAAUCCCAGCCGCUUAGGGGACUGAGGCAUAGAAUCAAGGGGUCCAAGCUAGCCUGGGCUACAAGAAGGACUCUGUCUGUAAGAACCAAAGCAGCACAAGUCAGUCAGUUGUGUGCUUGUCUCACGAACAUGAGAAACUGAGUUCAGUCUACUAGAACCCAGGUAAAGGGAAUCUAGUGUACACACUUAUAAUUUCAGUGCUUGGGUGGGAGACAGAGAGAGACAGAUCCCCGGGACUUACUGGCUGGCCAGCCUAGUCUGCUGUAUAAGUUCCAGGCAAAUUAGAGACCCCCACUCUCCUGGGGGGGAUGGAAAGGUGGGUGGUUUACACCCGAGGUUAUCUUCUGGCUUUUCCAUGUACAUACAUAAUGUGCCUGCUCAUCUACACACACACACACACACACACACACACACACACACACACACACACGAAAAUUUAUUCAAAAUGUAUAAAAUUACCUCCCUCCAGCCAUGUGUAUUAGAUAUGAAGCAAUUAAAUGUUGUAUUUAGAGUCAACUCUAACCCCUGAAAUAUCUUAAAUGUCUAAAAUAUGAAAAACUGUUCAGAAUCUGAAAGUGUUCUUGUCCCAAGCGAAAAUGCUGGUUUCAGUUUUUCUAGUGCUAGAGGCGAAACCCAGAGCUUUGCAAUCUACCACUGGGCCACGCCCCCAGCCCCUACUGGGGGAUUCUAGGCAGGGCUCUACCACUGAGCCACAACCCCAGCCCCUACUGGGGGAUUCUAGGCAGGGCUCUACCACUGAGCCACACCCCCAGCCCCUCACUGGGGGAUUCUAGGCAGGUGCUCUACCACUGAGCCAUACCCCCAGCCCCUCACUGGGGGAUUCUAGGCAGGGGCUCUACCACUGAGCCAUACCCCCAGCCCCUCACUGGGGGAUUCUAGGCAGGGGCUCUACCACUGAGCCACGCCCCCAGCCCCUCACUGGGGGAUUCUAGGCAGGGGCUCUACCACUGAGCCACAACCCCAGGCAUUCUGAACACUCGAUUAAGGGAUCCCUCACAUUUAGAUAGCCUGAGCCAGCUCUUCUGAGAUAAAGUCUAACCACGCUAGUGUGCUGCUUGCAAAACAAGAGACUGGAGGCCAUUGCAGGAGGUCCUUCUUGCUCCAGACUCAAGAACCUGUAGGGAGGCUUCACAUUCUAAAGACACUCAUUUCUGUGUCUCAUUGUUUUCUAUCCUCUUCUUUUUUGGAGACAAAGCCUUACGUAGUCUUAUGUGGCCUCAGAUCCCUAAUCCUCCUACCUCUACCUCCCAACUUCUGAAAUUACAGGCAUAUGUGGUGCUGGUCUUAAUACCUAGUGUGUGUGUGUGUGUGUGUGUGUGUGUGUGUGUGUGUGUGUGUGUGUGUGUACUCCAGCAAUACUGCUUGUAUAGAGGUCAGAGGACAACUUUUGGGAGUCAGUUCUCCUCCCACCAUGUGGGUCCUGAGGAUCAAACUCAGGAUGUCAGGUUUGGCUGCAAGUGUCUUUUCCUGAUGAGCCCUUUUGCUGGCCCUUAAUUUAUAUAUUUCUAGCAGUCACUAAGAUGCUGUGCUGGAUGUUUCUCUCACUGGGGAAUAGUGACCAGGGAUUAGAGCCAUGGGGCACUCAGAACCUUCAGGAGCACUGGGACUCAAAGAGCUGAUCCCUUGACCCUCUCAGGCACCCCAAAAUGUUCCUUACUUGGCUAGUCUUCAGUGGGGGCCGCAUUGCGCACCCCAGUCAUUGGCUUGCAAAUUCUAUUCCCUGAGGUGAGUGCGUGUAGGAGAUGUGGGUGUGGCAGGAGCGGGCCGGUGGCCAGUCUGUCUGCCACUGCUUCAGAAGUUCUGAUGGCCUGGAAUAUUGCCCACCUAACCAAAGGGAGUCUGUCAGUUCCACCUCCCGACAGGGCGGAGGCUGCUUCCUGUUUUUCCUGCCUGGGCGGGCAGGGAGGAACCUUGUUCCCAGCUCAGUGCCAGGAAGUGCAGUCUGAUACUAGUGAGGGGAGAGGGGCCUGUGGUUGAGACGGAGGGAGAGAGAGAAGCAUUUAUUUCUUGGACAGACUCACAGCCUCUACCGCUGCUAAUGCGUUAGCGAGACAGUUCAGGAAGCUGGGGUGCACCAUCCGGGCGUUCGGUGCCGCCUGCGAUUCAGUGCCGGCUAACGCUGCGUCCAAAGUUACAUUUCCCUUGAACCUCUUUUGCACCACCAACUAAAAGAUGCAUCUCCGCAUAAUCUUUGGUCGUGGUCGUUUUCCCAGUACAGACACGAAAACUCAGGGAGGGUCAGAGAUUUGCCUGUGAGUGCACAGGAAAGCUCCAGACCUGGUGCAGGUCUGAUCGCAGAGGUUACUCGUUUUAUUUUAUUUGUAGACAGUGUCUCACUUUCUCCAACUUUCCACGUAGCUGUGGAUGACCUUGAGCUCCUGCCUCCGCCUCCCCAAGGGUGGGGUAGUCAACUCCAUGUCUGGUCUGCCUUUACAUUUUUCAAAACAUGAAUUUGAGCCUGUGAAGGUGAAAGAGCGCUUCUUACCUUCUACCUUCAUAUAGGUGCCAGGAUCUAACUCCGGUCAUUAGGUGUGGCAGCAGUCGCCUCCACUGAGCCAUCUCUCUGUACCCCCAUCCCCCAACCCCCUUUAAAAAUCUUUUUUUUUUAAAGAUUUAUUUAUUUAUAUGUAAGUACACUGUAGCUGUCUUCAGACACACCAGUAGAGGGCAUCAGAUCUCGUUACAGAUGGUUGUGAGCCACCAUGUGGUUGCUGGGAUUUGAACUCAGGACCUCUGGAAGAGCAGACAGUGCCCUUAACCACUGAGCCAUCUCUCCAGCCCCCCCCCCUUUUUAUAUAUAAGUACACUGUAGCUGUCUUCAGACACACCAGAAGAGGGCAUCAGAUCUCAUUACAGUUGGUUGUGAGCCACCAUGUGGUUGCUGGGAUUUGAACUCAGGACCUCUGGAAGAGCAGACAAUGCUCUUAACCACUGAGCCAUCUCUCCAGCCCUAAAAAUCUCCUUCAAACCUAGUCUGUGGCUGGUAACUAACAAACAAACAAACAAACAAUAACACUAAACUAACCAACAACAACCAAGACAGUUGACACAGAUUUGAUCUUUCCAGACAUACUUAGAUAUCUUAAAUUCCUUCCAAAAAAAAAUGGCAUAUGUACACCCUCCUUGGAUGUAAGUGGUCUGUUGGUUAAUGCUGUCAACUUGACAGCCUCUAGAAUCACCUGGGAGAGGGGCCUUUGGACACAACUUCGAGAAACUAUCUAGAGUAAGGUCAGCCUCUGAGAGUGACUUGAUGAGGAGAGACCCGUGGUGACUGUGGGCAGAACCAUUCCCUUGGCAGGGGAUCCUGGACCCGUUUAAAACAGGGACAGUGGGGGUUGGGGAUUUAGCUCAGUGGUAGAGCGCUUGCCUAGCGAGUGCAAGGCCCUGGGUUCGGUCCCCAGCUCCGAAAAAAAGAAAAAAAAAAGGUCAAACACAAGUUAAUGUAUUUUUAUUAUAUUUUGUUUUGUUUUGAGACAGGGGUAGCCUCCGACUUGCAAUCCUCUUUCCUCUGCCUUCUUUGCUGGGGUUUCUGGGCAGAAGGGAAUCAGUGCCCAGAGCCCUUUGCUCAGAUAGUAAAGCUAGAGAAAAGUUGGAAUCAAUUGCAGUGGCGUGAAAGCUGCCCUGGGCGGGGGGUUGGGGGGGCAGUGGUUGGAAACACCAGCCAUCUGCCUCCCUUAGCCCAUUAGCCUGAGUUUACUGUUCCAUGAAGUCUUCUAUACUUAAAUCAUUCUCUCUUCGAUUUGAGAUAAGGUCUCCUUAUGUGUUCCAACCUGUUCUUGAGGACUCUUUACCUUAGUGUGUGUGUGUGUGUGUGUGUGUGUGUGUGUGUGUGUGUGUGUGUGUGUGUUGUUAGGAGGGUUGUGUGGGAGUGUGUGUGGGUGUGUGUGCACAUGCGCACGUUCAGGAAUGUGUGGUGCCCAAAGAGUCCCGAAAAGGGUGUCAGAUGGACCCGAGCCGCAGUUACAGGCGGUGUGAGACAAUCAAUGUGGGUGCUGGGAACUGAACUCAGGUCUUCUGAAAGAGCAGUAUGAGCUCUUUUUUCUUUAAAAUAUAAUUUAUUUUACGUAUAUGAGUACACUGUCACUCUUCAGACCCGAAGAGGACAUCAGAUCCCAUCACAGAUGGUUGUGAGUCACCAUGUGGUUGCUGGGAACUGAACUCAGGACCUCUGGAAGAGCAGGCAGCGCUCUUAACUGCUGAGCCAUCUCUCCAGUCCCGGUAUGAGCUCUUAACCACUGACCAAGUUCUCUACCACCUUCUCCUUCUUGUCCAUGUAUGCAUGUGCUCCUAUGUGUAUAAUUAUGGCACAUGAGAAGGCUGGACAACCUUGGGUGUUUUUCCUUAGGUGCCAUUUAUUUAUUUAUUUAUUUAUUUAUUUAUUUAUUUAUUUAGUGUGUGUGUGUGUGUGUGUGUGUGCACAUGCACCAUGGCAGGCAUGAAAAUGCACAGGGAAACAUGUGGGAGUCCGUUCUCUCCUUUCCCCAUGUAGGUCCCAGGGAUUGAGUUUCGGUCAUCAGGACUAACAACAAGCACCUCUACUCACUGAGCUACCUUGCCUGCCCUCCCGCCUUCUUCUUGGAGACAGCGUCUCUGACCAGAUAGUUAAUGAGCCCCCCUGUGAACCCAUCUGCCCGCCUCUGCCUCCCCAUUGCUGGGAUUCCAAGUGUAUAGCACUACAUUUGGCUCUUUUUAACAUGGAUUCUUGGGCUGAACUUAAGUCCUCAUGCUUGCAAGACAAGGACUUUACUAACUGAGCUACCUUGCCAACCCUGUCUUUGAAUUCUCUAUUAGCUCAGGCUGUACUCAAACACGCUCCGUAACCCAGGCAACCUUGAAUGCAGACCCUUCCUCUAGCUUUCAGGUACUGGAAUUGCAGGUGCGUACCACAAACACAGCUGCGUUUAUGGUCUAUCUCAACACUACCACAAACACAGCUGCGUUUAUGGUCUAUCUCAACACGCAGAAGAUUGAAACUACACAAAACACAGCUCUUCCCAGGGAGAAGGCAGUGUGUGUAGGGGCUUGCCCAUUGUCCGUCCACACGUGCUUUACGUUGUGUCCCAAACUCAGCCUUCCCAAAAGCAUGCUCAAAGGCAUCUGGGAACAUAAGCAAGUGGUUGACCUAUGAGUCAUGUACCUGCUUGCUGCCUCCCAGCAUGGCAUAGCUUGUAGCCAGGAAGUAGAGACCGUCAUUAAUCCACACGUUGCCUGCGGUCUCUGGCUUCUGUUCAUUGUGUUUUCUUCCAUAGAUACCAAGGACCCGUAAGUUCCUUGCUUAGCUUUUUAGUGUGGUGGCCCGGCACGCAGCAGAGGGCUUUAACCAGUUGAGCGCCAGUGCCGAUGACAUGUAGACCGAUCAGGUGGGUGGUGGAGUUUUCAAAAGGAGGAGACAAGACCAUGGAUGUGUCUAAAGAAAAUGCAAGGUCUGGGGACAGACUCGUUUGGCAUGGACUGCAGGCAUAGCUCAUGCUCCCAAGGGGAGCUGGGUUGCAAAGAACUGAGCUGUAGAGGAACCGUGGGAGAGCCUCCGGGAGCAUCUGGGAGAUGACCCUUGGGAAUCUACACACAGAAUGACUUUGUUACAAGGGUGCUUUGAGUUUUGGGAUUGUUCAUUUGUGUUUUCUGUCUGCUUUCCACAGAUGCCAAGGACCUGUUAGUUUCUCAUUUAUUUUUUAAGUGUGGUGGUCCAGCACUUAGCAGAGAAGCUUAGAGCACAGCAUCAGUGAAGUGUACCUUCCAGACAAACCUUCGUGGGCGUCUUUGUUUCUUUGUUCCCUUCCUUUCUCUUUGUUUCAUUUCCUUCCUUCCUUAUUACAUUUUUUUUACUCAUUUUAAAGUUUUAUUUAUUUUUAUGUAAAGUGUGUGCGUGUACACGUGCAUGCGUGUGUGUGUGUGUGUGUGUGCAUGUGUGAGAGUGUGUGUGUGUGUGUGUGUGUGUGUGUGUGUGUGUGUGUAUCUUCAGGGGCCCGAGCAGUCCAGAAAGAAGAGGGUAGAUCUCCUGGAUAGAACUGGGUUACAGGCAAUUGUAAGUCACUAGAUGCGGGUGCUGGGAACUGAACUCUGGUCCUCUGCAAGAUCAGUACAUACCCUUACUGAGUGCCAUGGUGAAUGUGUAGACAUCAGAAGACAACUUCUAGGAGUCAAUUCUCCCUUUUCACCAGGUGGGUCCCAAGGAUCAAUCAUCAGACUUGGCAGCAAGCACCUUUACCCACUGAGCCAUCUUGCCAGCCCACACAGCGUGCUGGCUUGUCUUUGAACCAUUUGAGCUCCAAGGCCAUGUUUGGUGGAGAUCUUGUGCCAUGUACUUUUGGUAUCCGUUGGCUGUGGCUUAACUGGGGCAGUAUUCCCUAUUUAUUUUGUUUCGCCUCUGCUUAUUAUGCAUGUGGGGGUGUGGUCAUGUUCAUGCCAAAGACAUGGAGGUCUGAGGGCUAUUUUUAGGCAUUGGUUCUCUCCAUCCGCUGUGGGUCCUGAGGACUGAACUCAGCUUGUGGGUUUUCACAAGAAGUACUUUUACCCUCUGAGUCAUCUUGUCCACCCUGGGGCCAUAUUCUUGUUGUUCCUGAGCUGGUAUCCAGUGAUGUAUGCCCGCCAAUCACGUGUUCUGUGCUGAGCGGUUCUUAUUUCUCAAAACAAAGAAUAACAAAGAGGCCUGGGAACAUGGCUUUUUGGAAGAGCUAGAGCCUAGACUCCCCCAGUGAGGGGCUGGGGUCGUGGCUCAGUGAUAGAGUGUUUUCCUAACACACACUAUGUCCUGAGUUCUGUUCUCAGUACUACAUACACAUUUACACACACACACACACACACACACACACACACACACACACACACACACACAGACGAAUAGCGUCUUAUAUUUUCCAAGUGAGCUCAGUGCAGCCACUCCAUCUAUAGGCAAAGAACUUUCCCUAAGUUUGUAAGCACAAAGGAGAGUCCAAGCACCUGGAGAUUUCACAUGUUAGAAUAUUCGCAUAUGCAUAACAUUGGCAUGUGCGUAAUGAGACCUCUUGGGGCUGAGAUCGCCUGUGCAUCUAAUGCAUAGCGCUAGAGGGCAGCACUCGUAGGCAAGGACCAGAGGAAGGCUUCUAGUGCACUAAGGGUUGCCCUUGGUAACUUCAUCAUGGACACAGGGACCUCUGGCCUGGGACUACAAGGAGUUGAAUUGUACCUGAGUUUGGAAGCAGAUUCCUCUAUGUCUCUAGUAAGGAGGACACCUUGAUUUUUAGCUCAUUGGAAGAAGCUGUACUGGGCUAAUUUGCAGCGCUACAAGACUAGAAAUGGGUGCCAUUGUCAGUGUUCUCCAGAGGCGUAGCGAGGAGGAUCAUGAGUCUGAGGUCAGAGCUACAUGGUGAGAAGUUCUGUCAAAAACAAAAAAUAAAACCCAACAAACAAACAAACAAACAAACACCUCACUAACUGCAUUAACUGGGGGCUGGAGAGAUGGCUCAUCGGUUAAGAGCACUGACGGCUCUUCCAGAGGUCCUGAGUUCAACUCCCAGCAACCACAUGGUGGCUCACAACCAUCUGUAAUGGGAUCUGAUGCCCUCUUCUGGUGUAUCUGAGGACAGCUACAGUGCACCUAUAUAUAAUAAAUAAAUAAAUCUUUUUUAAAAAUUGCUAACUAGGAUGGGAAGGUGGCUCAGUGGGUGAAGCAUUUUACCCAAGCCCAUUGCCCAAGCCUAGGACCUGCGUUCCAGAUGCUUAGACUCACAUAAGCCAGGACCACAGCAAGUGUCUAAUCCCAGAGUUCUCACAGGGAGUUGGGAGGUGGGGACAGGAGGCUCUCCUGGGCUGGCUAGCCUGUCUUCUGUGGUCCAUGUAUACCACAGUCACACUCACACACACUAAGACGUCAGACAGACAGACAGACAGACAGACAUCUUAGCCAUGGAUGUUUUAUGUUGUCGAGUUUGUAGCCAUUUGUUUGUGAUGGAACUUGAACAAGCCUGGGCCAGCAAGAUGACCUGAGUUUAAUCCCAGGGACCCACGAGGGAGAAGGAGAGAACUGACUUCAGAACAUUGUCCUCUACUGUCACAGGGGCCCCCACCCAAAUACACAAAUAAAUGUAAUUCAGAAGGCGGGGAGGAGUGGGGUGGGACAAAGUUAAUGGAUAAGCCAUGCUCCCAGGCAAGAUUCUAAGCAUCUCCAAGACCUGACUUCACAGACAGACAAACCACCAUGCUGGGCCCCACGGGACCUAUGCUAUUUGAUGUAUGCCUUUCGGGGCUGUAGAUCAGACACUGGAAUUCCACAGUUGGCACCCGUUCCCAGAAGUUUAUCCUGAAAGGACAAUUCAACAGUCCGUUCAGAACAUAUUUUUUUUCCCUGCUGGGCCACCAAGUUCUUUGAUACAAUUCCAGGUUGGAGAUCUCAGAUCUAAUUUACUGAACUUGUAAAAGGGAGAAAAUUUUUUAAUGAAAUUGUGCUAUUUUUGAAAAGUGGGUGGGAAACUCUGAUGCUGAGACAGAAGUGGAUGGGAUGUCUAUGAAGAAGAAAGCAGGCCCAGAGACAGGAAGCAGAGGGGGGAUCCAGGAGUGAGGCCCAGGCAGCAGAGGGGGGAUCCAGGAGUGAGGCCCAGACAGCAGAGGGGGGAUCCAGGAGUGAGGCCCAGACAGCAGAGGGGGGAUCCAGGAGUGAGGCCCAGGCAGCAGAGGGGGGAUCCAGGAGUGAGGCCCAGGCAGCAGAGGGGGGAUCCAGGAGUGAGGCCCAGGCAGCAGAGGGGGGAUCCGAGAGUGAGGCCCAGGGAUCCUGCUGUGCCCUAUGCUGACUCAGGCUUGUGCUGGAGAUCUGGAAGGUUCUGCUGUUCCUGGGCUUAACUACAGAGGAAGCAUGCACUUGUGGAAUACUGACUUCAGACUUAGCAAGCCUGAGCCAUAAAGACGCUCGUUUCCAACCCUCCAGACCGGACUGCCCAACCACACACCACCUGAUCCCUGGAACCCAUGUGGAGGAAAGGGAGCAUCGAUACUCUGGAAGUUAUCCUCUGACUUACACGCAUACAACACACACACAUACACACACACACACACACACACACACACACACCCCACAUACCCCACAUAUAUACACACCACAUACAUAACUAUACAACCAAACACACACACACACACACACAUAUAUCACACAACCACAUACACACACCACAUAAGCAGCUACAUACACGCAUAUACAUACAGUACACAUACAACCACACAGACCAAAUAAACAGCUACACACAUACCACACACACCCAGAUACACCACACACACACACAAACAGCCUUUCACAUACCACCCCCACCACACACCACAUGCACCACAGACAUACACACACCACAUAAACAGCCACACACAUACCACAUUCAACCACACAUACACACAACACACAAACAGCCACACACAAACCACACACAACCACAUGUACACACCACACACAAACAGCCACACACAAACCACACACAACUACACACACACACACACACACACACUCCACAAACACAACCACACACACACAUACAAACAAACACAUACACCCACCCGUACACACUUAGAAAAUGCAUGCAGACUUCUGAUCAGGACUCUUCAGAAAUGCUGAGGUCUAGAGGAGCAGGAGAGGUUGGAGGAAUGGUCAGGUGGGAGGAUGCUAAGAUGAGGUGCGAUCUGGUUUGCCUCUUGGAACAGGAAGACCACAGUGCUGGUGAACUCAGCGGCGGUCAGCAGCACAGCCGGCAGUGUGAAAGCCAGGGAGUCAUGGUCGUGGUUGCGGAAGAUGUUGGCUAAUGCAGAAGGGAGCUGGAUAAAGUGCAUGGGCAGCUUAAGCAGUCCUUCUGGAGAUCUAAGAGGAUCUCAAACCGAAUGCUCAGCAGAAUAAAUGGUGCGUACUGAAUCAGCGAGGGCCGAGUGGGCAUGUGGUUCCUUUCCACUAUGGCAUCUUUACCCCUGGGACAGCAGACAGGGUGGCAGUGCCUCUGUUCUCCUCUCUUUCUUCCUCCUGUCUUUAGCAGGGUUUCAAACUCGCUCAGGAUGUCUGGGAACUCAUGACCCUCCUGCCUCUACCUCCCAAAUGCCAGAGUCACAGUUGUGUAACACUAAACCCACAUCAUGGGAUGCUGAGGACUGAACCGGGGCUUCGCGUGCUCUUCCAGUGGAGCUAAGGCCUCAGGAUCCUAUUGUAACUGAGCAGUACCAUGUGCGGCUUACAUCUUUGUUUCUAUUCAGCCCCUCACGUCGCCUAGAUGCGUUGACAUUGGGCCCUUCGAAUGAACUAAACAGGAGUGGCCACAGCAGUAGCUCGUGCUGGCUGUUGUCCCUGUCCCCUGGUACUGAAGUCUUCCUUCCUGACCCCAGUAGACAUGCUCCCAUCUCCCAGGUUCCCUUCACCUUUCUGCCUCUCCCAGGGCUCUUUGUAGGGAUGACUUCCUGUGGCUUGUGGGUUGCGUCUGCCUGGUGUUCCUUAGGUGACAGGGUUGUGCAUAUAGGACUACUAAAGAAAUGUGUUUUGUUAAGGAAUAACUGACUGAGCGGAUGAGAGGAUGAAUGGGUGAACGAUUGAAUGGCUGACUAAAACAAUACGAUCAGUAAAUGAAAGUAAAAGAAAUAAAUAUGAUGAUAAACACAAUAAAUAAGUUGAAUGGCGCGUAAAUCAGUGGUGGAGUGAUUGGGUAAAUAACUCAUGUCUGGAUGAGUCACUGAGUGAAUGAAUGAAUGAUGAUGAUGAAUGGUUAGUGUGUAAGUGAGUGUGCAAAUGACUGAGCGAUUGUGUGAAUGAGCAGUGGAGCUCAUUGGGAGUGAACCAGUGUGUGGUUGGUUGGAUGACUGAGUGAGGGAAUUAAUGAAUGAGUAAGUACAGGUCCUUCCCACCCGCUAGAGGGUUGUCCAACUCGUGGCUUCUCACGUGGCCACCCUACAGCAAGCCAUUCUCCACUGUGACUCUGAAAAGGCCCCUAAGGCUUCAUUAUUUUCUCCGAAGUCUUGGACGGCAGUCACCUAUCUAGAAGAAGCCAUUCGCCCGCCAGUGUUUUCACACUGCUCCAACAUCUCUGGCCUCCAAGCAGGCUGCCAGGGCCCGGGAGCCCUCCUGGCCUCUCCUGUCGCUGAGAACUUGCCACAGGAAAUCAGGCUUAUUUUGAGGGCCAAAUAGUCUCUAAAAAUAGCUUCCUGGCGCAGAUAUUUAAAGAACGGUGCCGAUGGUGUUAUGUCUGCACAGAGAAGGGAAAAGACAACUUCACGAUCCCCUGUGAGGGAGAGCGGGAGAGCAGAGCCACACCAGGUUUUCUUGGGAGCAGAGCCAGGACCAGGUGUCAAGGUUUUAAUUACAGAGGUCCCAGGUGCUUGUCCAAGGCCUGUGGCCAGCCCAGGGCUCGAAGUUUACAUUUCUGUUUCCAGGCAAUCUUUUCAGUAUCGCUCCUGCUGUCUCUGUUUAAAAAUACCUCAAGAGCCGGGCAUGGGUGUGACCGAUCCCAGCACUCAAAAGCCUGAUGCAGGAGGAUCACGAGUUCAAUGCUAGCCUGGGCUAUAUAGGCUACUCCAACUCAAACAAAAGGCCUAAAACACAAAACCCCACUCCUGUCUGGAAUGUGGUAACCCAGGCAUCCUCCCCAUCCCUGUCUAACUCAGGGGAGCCAUGCCCUGGGAGGUGUCCCCUAUAGCCUCAGGGCUCACAGGCAGCACAAGGAGGGAGCUUGCCUUGAAUAAUCCCUUUGCCAACCUCUCUCCCUUUCUCCAUCCCUCUUCCUCCCUCCCUCCCUCUACCGCACUCUCUGCACUCUCUAGGGCUGGGUGACAGUCAGCAAGUGGUGAGGGUCGGGGCCCUGGAAUCUUUCUGGGGAAAAAGGGAAAUUGCCAAGUGUAGAAAGCAAGGAACAGUUCAUGUCAGAGAGAGAGAGAGAGAGAGAGAGAGAGAGAGAGAGAGAGACAGAGAGAGAGACAGAGAGAGAGACAGAGAGACAGAGAGACAGAGAAACAGAGAGAGACAGAGAAACAGAGAGAGACAGAGAAACAGAGAGAGACAGAGACAGACAGAGAAAGUCAGGGGGACAGAGAGACAGAGACAGAGAGAGACACAGAGAGAGAAAGAGAUGGAGAGUUCAGCCCUGAAAUUCCACUCAUGCAUGGUAGCCUGGGGCCUCCCUCCCGGCAGAUGCCCCGACCUGCUCUCUCUCCUCCAGGCUUCAUUAGGGCUGUUGGACAGACAGAAUGACCUUUAUUAGGGCUGUUGGGCAGACAGAAUGACCUUCAAUAGGGCUGUUGGGCAGACAGAAUGACCUUCAAUAGGGCUGUUGGGCAGACAGAAUGACCUUCAAUAGGGCUGUUGGGCAGACGGAAUGACCUUAAGGAAGUCUGACCUUUUUAGGCCAAUGUUUUUGUAUCUCAAGUGUUCUAAACUAAAAAUAGAACUAUCAGAGAGGGGGGAGUUUUAAACCUCUUUGGGGGCUGAAUUUAUGUCUCUGUUGGGAAGAAAAUCAAAACAAAUACCUUUUUCUGUACCAAGUGCUGACACAGUGAACAUUCUCGUCUCUGUGUUUGUAGCUUACAUUUCUCCGGCUUUCCCUCUGUGGUGGUCAAGAGACUGGCGUAUGUUCCUCUUCUCAUCCCCAUGAGAAAAUGCCUGGCAAAAGCAACUUCAGAAGGAAAGGCUUUGCUGAAUGGGGUGAUGCACACCUUUAAUCACAGAACUAACAGAGUUAGAGGCAGGUGGAUCUUUGUGAGUUCAAGGCUAGCCUGGUCUACAUAGCAAGCUUUAGCACAGCCAGGAAUACUAAUGGAGAGACCCUGUUUCCAAGAAGAGGAAGAGGAGGCCGAAGGAAAGAAAAGGAAGGAAGGAAGGAAGGAAGGAAGGAAGGAAGGAAGGAAGGAAGGAAGGCCUCCAGCCUAGGGAAUGGUGCUGCUCACAUUAGGACGGGUCUUGUCACUUCAUUUACCCAAUCUAAAGAUGUCCUCACAGAUGUGCCUGGAUGUUUAUCUCUUAGAUGAUUCUAGAGCCUGUUAAAUUGACAAUCAACGUAAACUACCACAGCAUAAAAGCAGAAAUAGUUUUUGUCUCUUGUGGGUUUUUUUUGUUUGUUUUUUGUUUUUUUUGGGUUUUGUUUUUGUUUUUGUUUUUCUAGAGACAAGUUCACACAGUUCACACAUUCUUUAUUUGUUUGAGACAGGAUUUCCCUGUGUAGCUAUCCUGGAACUUACUCUGUAGACGAGACUGGCCUCGAACUCAGAGAAGAGAUCUGCCUGCCUCUGCCUCCCAAAUGUUGGGAUUAAAGGCAUGCACUACUACUGCCUGGAAAGUUCUCAUACUCUUAACAUUCUUUUGGCCUGAAAUUCACUAUUCUAGACCAGACUGACCUCACAUUUAUAAUGAUCCUCCUGCCUCAGCUUCCUGAGUGCUAAGAUUAUAAGCGUGCACAACAUGGCUCCAAAAAAUUUAAUAAAAAUUGUUGGCAUGUAAAAAAUUUAUUCAAAAGAAACAACGUAACAAUGAUGACUCCCCCAAAACAACAAAAACCUAUCCAUGCUGGAGCAGCAAGAUGGCAGUAGAGCCCCUGCCUAAAAUCCUCCAGUGAGGGGCUGGGGACGUGGCUCAGUGGUAGAGCACCUGCCUAGAAUCCCCCAGUGAGGGGCUGGGGGCGUGGCUCAGUGGUAGAGCACCUGCCUAGAAUCCCCCAGUGAGGGGCUGGGGGCAUGUCUCAGUGGUAGAGCCCCUGCCUAGAAUCCCCCAGUGAGGGGCUGGGGGCGUGGCUCAGUUCUUGGUACCAUGUUCUAAUCACCAUGGUAGUCAGUCAGCAGAUGACACUUCUUUCAGGGCUUGCUGUGCCAGGCAUAAAAUGAGAUGCUCCACUCAUGGAGUCUCUGUCUGGUCCCUUGAGAGCGGAACCUGUUAUCUUGCCAUUUUCUUUGCUAGUUCUACUGAGGUCCAUUGGAGUUGGAAUGAGUGAGGUCUUUGGAAUGUCAACAUUCCCUCCCCAGCGCUCACCAUUGAGUCAGAUAGGCCUGGGUGCCCGGAUUAAAACACACUUGAUUUCAGAGUUCAAGUUACUUUUA